AUUGAACGCUGGCGGCAUGCUUUACACAUGCAAGUCGAACGGCAGCGCGGGGGCAACCCUGGCGGCGAGUGGCGAACGGGUGAGUAAUGUAUCGGAACGUAUCCUGUAAUGGGGGAUAACCAGUCGAAAGAUUGGGUAAUACCGCAUACGCACGAGAGUGGAAAGUAGGGGAUCGCAAGACCUUACGUUAUAGGAGCGGCCGAUAUCUGAUUAGCUAGUUGGUGGGGUAAAGGCCUACCAAGGCGACGACGGGUAGCCGGUCUGAGAGGAUGUACGGCCACACUGGGACUGAGAUACGGCCCAGACUCCUACGGGAGGCAGCAGUUGGGAAUCUUAGGCAAUGGACGAAAGUCUGACCUAGCGACGCCGCGUGAGGGAAGAAGGCCUUCGGGUUGUAAACCUCUGUCAUGGGGGAAGAAGUAAGUGACGGUACCCCAAGAGGAAGCCCCUGCUAACUACGUG
rnacentral:rRNA from 1 species